rnacentral:rRNA from 1 species
AUGAACGCUAGCUACAGGCUUAACACAUGCAAGUCGAGGGGCAGCAUGGUCUUAGCUUGCUAAGGCCGAUGGCGACCGGCGCACGGGUGAGUAACACGUAUCCAACCUGCCGUCUACUCUUGGACAGCCUUCUGAAAGGAAGAUUAAUACAAGAUGGCAUCAUGAGUCCGCAUGUUCACAUGAUUAAAGGUAUUCCGGUAGACGAUGGGGAUGCGUUCCAUUAGAUAGUAGGCGGGGUAACGGCCCACCUAGUCUUCGAUGGAUAGGGGUUCUGAGAGGAAGGUCCCCCACAUUGGAACUGAGACACGGUCCAAACUCCUACGGGAGGCAGCAGUGAGGAAUAUUGGUCAAUGGGCGAGAGCCUGAACCAGCCAAGUAGCGUGAAGGAUGACUGCCCUAUGGGUUGUAAACUUCUUUUAUAAAGGAAUAAAGUCGGGUAUGGAUACCCGUUUGCAUGUACUUUAUGAAUAAGGAUCGGCUAACUCCGUGCCAGCAGCCGCGGUAAUACGGAGGAUCCGAGCGUUAUCCGGAUUUAUUGGGUUUAAAGGGAGCGUAGAUGGAUGUUUAAGUCAGUUGUGAAAGUUUGCGGCUCAACCGUAAAAUUGCAGUUGAUACUGGAUAUCUUGAGUGCAGUUGAGGCAGGCGGAAUUCGUGGUGUAGCGGUGAAAUGCUUAGAUAUCACGAAGAACUCCGAUUGCGAAGGCAGCCUGCUAAGCUGCAACUGACAUUGAGGCUCGAAAGUGUGGGUAUCAAACAGGAUUAGAUACCCUGGUAGUCCACACGGUAAACGAUGAAUACUCGCUGUUUGCGAUAUACUGCAAGCGGCCAAGCGAAAGCGUUAAGUAUUCCACCUGGGGAGUACGCCGGCAACGGUGAAACUCAAAGGAAUUGACGGGGGCCCGCACAAGCGGAGGAACAUGUGGUUUAAUUCGAUGAUACGCGAGGAACCUUACCCGGGCUUAAAUUGCAGAUGAAUUACGGUGAAAGCCGUAAGCCGCAAGGCAUCUGUGAAGGUGCUGCAUGGUUGUCGUCAGCUCGUGCCGUGAGGUGUCGGCUUAAGUGCCAUAACGAGCGCAACCCCUCUCCUUAGUUGCCAUCAGGUUAAGCUGGGCACUCUGGGGACACUGCCACCGUAAGGUGUGAGGAAGGUGGGGAUGACGUCAAAUCAGCACGGCCCUUACGUCCGGGGCUACACACGUGUUACAAUGGGGGGUACAGAGGGCCGCUACCACGCGAGUGGAUGCCAAUCCCCAAAACCUCUCUCAGUUCGGACUGGAGUCUGCAACCCGACUCCACGAAGCUGGAUUCGCUAGUAAUCGCGCAUCAGCCACGGCGCGGUGAAUACGUUCCCGGGCCUUGUACACACCGCCCGUCAAGCCAUGGGAGCCGGGGGUACCUGAAGUGCGUAACCGCGAGGAGCGCCCUAGGGUAAAACUGGUGACUGGGGCU